CUAAUCAUUGCCCAAUACAAAAAAUAUGUACCAAACAUACUACAAGGAUGACAAGGAUUAUAUCAAUCCUUAGGAAUUCCUUGUUUUAAGCAGAGUUCCUUAGUGCCCUUUGCCAAGGCUUACGCCUCUGCUUAGAAAAAGUCAAAAAAUAUUAUUCCACCUUUAUUCAUUCCUAUAUUAUCUACAGCUGAUUUCAAAAAUAUAUUGCAUGCUUUCUUGAUACUGUGCUGCAUAUGAAUCACACGUAAUUCUGCUACCACUAACCAAAUAUAAACUCCCUCCAACCCCCACGUCCGAGAAAAAGAAAAACCUUCAUAGGCAAAAGACAUACUUAAAUACCAUUCUUUAGAUAGAGACAUGGAAUAUGUACACAUUUCAAUGUUGAUGACCAAAAUCAAAAGGUAAUAACGAAGUCUCAAUUUUUUUUAUGAUUCUUCCAUCACUAAAACAAACUCUACCAAAAUAACCGUUUGCCCUAAAAUUUGGAAAGAAAUUGAUUUUCAAGCAACAUCUCAAAGUCUAGUUAUGUCACUUCCUCUCAGGACCGCAUCAAGACAUGAUUGGCAGCAGAAUAAGAGAUAGUUAUUUUAAAUGAAAUGGGAAAUAGUUAGGUGGGCCUUGCUUAUUCAUAACUUCAAAUGUAUGAACUACAACAUUAAAGAGUUCAUGAUAAAUUAAACUUCAAAAAGUCAACAUUUCACAAAAAAAUUAUCCUCAGGACUGAUUGUCUACACCAAAACUAAGGUCUCCAUGGAUCUUCGAUUGACUUCAGAAGCUUAUGAAGCUUAGCAAACCAAAUGAGACAUGCCCCAUACAUGGACACAUCAAAAAUUGUUUCAACUCGCUCAAUUUAUCGCCAUUUACUUAUCUGUAUCCCCGUUCUCAUCUUUACCAAUUUCCUCUCAAACACAAUUACCCAUUUUGAAAUAUACUUAUGUUAUUUUCUCCAUCUCUUUAUCUAGUACUCUUUAUGCAAUUAUGGAAAUCAUCAAAAAGUCAAUUCAAUAAUUCUGCCAAGACUGAGAUAUGAUCCCAUAAUCAUAUUAGAAUAUGUAUGCAAAAGAUAGCCAUGAGACACCUAAGGCUAGGACACAUUUUCCUCAUUUAUAUUACAACGCUUUUUAAAACAAUAAAUGAAUGGAGAAAUUAAUAAUGCCAAAAGAAUAAAAUAAAAUACAAACUUAGGAGGGCAUAACAUAUAGCCAAACACAGAGCAGCAUAAUAAACCACUCAGGUGAACACAUGCCUCGAUGAGAUAAAUUUUUAAUCAAAUUAUAAAAGCUCACAAACAGAUUUAUACUUUGACAAAAGAAACUUCAGCAACUAUGCUUGAUUAAGAAAUGAUAUGGCGACUUGCAAAUUUAUCACAGAUAUCAUUCUGUUAUGUACUGCUCAACAAGGCAGAAGACUUGUAUUACCUCAAAAAUGGAACGGCGUUACUAUCAUGCAAGCAAUCUAAAUCUUCAAAAUGAGUAGAACCAAUUCAAUAUCCAAUAUGGGUCAGAUCUCCAAUAUAUUCUGCAAUUUGUUCAAGCUGAACAUUGAGAAACUCCUGUGUGUCGGCAUCCUGAACUAAACCUAUCUCCUUCUCCAAAUCUUGCUCCUGCAAACUCCCAUACACGCCCUUGUGCCUACCAUACAAAACUAGUAAUUUGCCUCUACGUUUUGGAACCGCAGUCUCCAAUAAGUCCUGUUACACUCCUUGUACCAACUCCCCACUCUCAUCCAUUGAUAUAUCACAAAACCCAGGCCCCACCACAUCUGUCACCACCCCCUUUUGCAAGUACAAUCUCCCAUCCUUCAAUGU
rnacentral:lncRNA from 1 species